AGUGAACGCUGGCGGUAGGCCUAACACAUGCAAGUCGAACGGCAGCACAGUAAGAGCUUGCUCUUACGGGUGGCGAGUGGCGGACGGGUGAGGAAUACAUCGGAAUCUACUUUUUCGUGGGGGAUAACGUAGGGAAACUUACGCUAAUACCGCAUACGACCUACGGGUGAAAGCAGGGGAUCUUCGGACCUUGCGCGAUUGAAUGAGCCGAUGUCGGAUUAGCUAGUUGGCGGGGUAAAGGCCCACCAAGGCGACGAUCCGUAGCUGGUCAGAGAGGAUGAUCAGCCACACUGGAACUGAGACACGGUCCAGACUCCUACGGCAGGCAGAAGUGGGGAAUAUUGGACAAUGGGCGCAAGCCUGAUCCAGCCAUACCGCGUGGGUGAAGAAGGCCUUCGGGUUGUAAAGCCCUUUUGUUGGGAAAGAAAAGCAGCAGGUUAAUACCCCGCUGUUCUGACGGUACCCAAAGAAUAAGCACCGGCUAACUUCGUG
rnacentral:rRNA from 1 species